rnacentral:rRNA from 1 species
CAUCCUCCAAGGCUAAAUACUCCUGACUGACCGAUAGUGAACCAGUACCGUGAGGGAAAGGCGAAAAGAACCCCGGCGAGGGGAGUGAAAAAGAACCUGAAACCGUGUACGUACAAGCAGUGGGAGCACAGGUUUACCUGUGUGACUGCGUACCUUUUGUAUAAUGGGUCAGCGACUUAUAUUCUGUAGCAAGGUUAACCGAAUAGGGGAGCCGGAGGGAAACCGAGUCUUAAUUGGGCGUUAAGUUGCAGGGUAUAGACCCGAAACCCGGUGAUCUAGCCAUGGGCAGGUUGAAGGUUGGGUAACACUAACUGGAGGACCGAACCGACUAAUGUUGAAAAAUUAGCGGAUGACCUGUGGCUGGGGGUGAAAGGCCAAUCAAACCGGGAGAUAGCUGGUUCUCCCCGAAAGCUAUUUAGGUAGCGCCUCGUGAAUUCAUCUCCGGGGGUAGAGCACUGUUUCGGCUAGGGGGCCAUCCCGGCUUACCAACCCGAUGCAAACUGCGAAUACCGGAGAAUGUUAUCACGGGAGACACACGGCGGGUGCUAACGUCCGUCGUGAAGAGGGAAACAACCCAGACCGCCAGCUAAGGUCCCAAAGUCAUGGUUAAGUGGGAAACGAUGUGGGAAGGCCCAGACAGCCAGGAUGUUGGCUUAGAAGCAGCCAUCAUUUAAAGAAAGCGUAAUAGCUCACUGGUCGAGUCGGCCUGCGCGGAAGAUGUAACGGGGCUAAACCAUGCACCGAAGCUGCGGCAGCGACGCUUAUGCGUUGUUGGGUAGGGGAGCGUUCUGUAAGCCUGUGAAGGUGGCCUGUGAGGGUUGCUGGAGGUAUCAGAAGUGCGAAUGCUGACAUAAGUAACGAUAAAGCGGGUGAAAAGCCCGCUCGCCGGAAGACCAA